UACGGAGGGUGCGAGCGUUGUCCGGAUUUAUUGGGCGUAAAGAGCUCGUAGGCGGCUUGUCGCGUCGUCCGUGAAAACUUGGGGCUCAACCCCAAGCUUGCGGUCGAUACGGGCAGGCUAGAGUUCGGUAGGGGAGACUGGAAUUCCUGGUGUAGCGGUGAAAUGCGCAGAUAUCAGGAGGAACACCGGUGGCGAAGGCGGGUCUCUGGGCCGAUACUGACGCUGAGGAGCGAAAGCGUGGGGAGCGAACAGG
rnacentral:rRNA from 1 species